AACACCAGGAAAUAAAUGUUUGCUUGGCCCCUUUACAUUUAAUGACUGGAAUACAAAUAUAUUAAAUGUUGUUAAAGGUGGAGUUUUAAAGUGGCUAAGCAAAAGAAAAGACUAGAAAAUUAAAAUGAGAAUCCUGGGCUGUGGUGUCAAACAUGAAGGACGUAAUUAAGCAAAACAAAGUCAGGCAGGUCCACUAGAUGUUUUCCAGCUUCCUCAUUACCAACUCAACUCAACUCAACUCAACUCAACUCAACAAUGUCGUUGCUACGGACCAAAGUUGCAUAGACAGUGAACAUCCCCCAUCUGGACCAGAUCGACCUGGGCUGAUCGAGCAGGCAUUCCAGCAGGGGGUUGGUUGAAAGCUACAGUUCCAGGUUGGAUCUCCCUGAACUUCGCGAUCAAAACCAUCAUGACACGCUGAACACCAAGCCUUUCCCCCCUCACACUUAUAUCCUGUAUCGUUAGGAUCCAUUUUAGAUGCAUUGUACAGAAACAGGGGUUCCUGCACCGCUGGAGUCCAGCUCGACAGCUCUACAGAUUGUUCAGAGGAGUUGAAAA